GUGUCCUAUGCCAAAGUUUAGCAGAAAGUUUAGCAAAACAGACUUCUAUGGACACGGGUAAGCCUCGGGCAAGGAGCGAACAACCACUGUAGACACAGAUCUCAGUUAUUUAACGUUAGUUAUUACAGACAGAUCUGGCAUUUCUCCAUCUGGAAAAUACUACUUACAACACAACUGCAAUUAUUUUAUUUUAUAUUUGUCCAAGAUAGCUAGCUGCAAAGCUAGCAAGCUAGUUAAUUUAAGAUAUCUCUAGAUCCAGUUCGCCAGCAGAGCAGCACUCGCCAAAAAGACAGCAAGACGCCUCACUACAGACACCCUGGUUUGAAUCCUGCUGUAUCACAACCGGCCGCGAUUGGGAGUCCCAUA
ensembl:lncRNA